UCCGGUUCUUAAGUAUAAAAAAUAGCAGAUCCAUACCACAUUGGGUGAGGCUGGUUGCAGGAGAGUAUAUUCAGUCUAGAUGGAAAGUGAUAUUACAAUAUAUACAAAAACUUUACAACAAAAAAAAGGAAAAACUAUAUUUACACGGGACACGACGAAACACGUCUGACUGCUACGCCAUCUUGGGUGGACCAAACACUUUUGAAUCUGCUAGCUUGCUAGUUGGCUACACUCGUGGAGUCUGAGGAAUUAAUGCAUCUUCUGCCAAAGUCUGUCAUGUAAAGAUGGGCUGUAGUUUGACAAGGUAUUGUACGUAGGCCUAUGAAACGCAGUUAGCUGAUCCCUGCCAGUGUGCUUUCAGUUGUCUCUCUCAUGCUACUGUGCAGUCAGGCUUUAUGUCCCUUUCUGGGAAAGUAUAACGUUAGUAGCCUACUGUUACAGUGGAACAUUGUCUGAGUGUUGUAACUAGCUAGAUAACUGUGUCAAUGAGGACAGUUAGAGCACUGCAGAGUUUUAGCAGAGUCUUUGUCUGCCCUUGUCCACCACCAUCAUCUGGUAAGAUCAGUUUCUCUAUUUCAGCCUUACUAGUUAUGGAUAUCUCUCAUUGGAAUUGUAUCCACAAUCAUUUCAGUCUAUGUCUAGUUUCUAUCAGAAAUCUGUAUCUAAAUGUUAACUUCUUAUUUAUAGUUAGAUCAUGAAGCAGAUAAACUAAUGCCAAGGAACUCAAUGCUCAGCCACCUAACCUCUGAGAUCAAAGCUACAGGUCCUAUCUCAGUGGCAGAGUACAUGAGGUUCUCACUAACCCAGUCAAGGGCUAUUAUGUGCAGAAUGAUAUGCUUGGGCCAGAUGGAGAUUUCAUCACAAUGCCAGAAAUUAGUCAGCUCUUUGGGGAGCUGCUGGGGAUCUGGUGUUUAAGCGAGUGGAUGGGAGCAGGGAAGCCCAGUCACUUCCAGUUAGUGGAGUUUGGACCAGGAAGAGGCUCCUUGGCCAAUGACAUUCUCAGUAUGUACAGUACCAUUCACAAGUUUGGACACACCUACUCAUUCAAGUGUUUUUCUUUAUUUUUACUAUUUUCUAUAUUGUACGAUAAUAGUGAAGACAUCAACAC